AAAUUUCAGUCCCCACUGCUCCCACAUCAGUCCGCCAAUCCCAUAUCCCACCUCCCAAAUCAGUCUUAGAUCAGAUCCCAUGCUUGCAAACAAUACUUCUCCUCUCGCCCCCUUGGAUCGUGUGGGUUUGCUCGACUGACUUAAACCAGACCCCAUGAGUGCUACUAAAUUCCAGAUCUCAUAUCCGAUAUAAGUCUUCACCUCUCUUAGUCUUCGUCGGACCGCCGGUCCUCCCGCCUUUGCCGACGAUGCUCUUUCUUCACUUUCCACCGGUAAAAAUAUUAUUCGACCGAAGGUGUUUCUCGCGCGCGCUGAAGGUGUAUUGUACUCGACCGAAGGUGUAUUAGACCCCAUGUUUCUCUCACCUUAUUUGGUUGUCGUAUUGUACUUUAUAGCCAUGGUUAUCAUAUUGUACUUUAUAAUGCCUUGUUUGGUUGUCAUAUCUCCAUAAUCUAUAAUACCUUAUUUGGUUUUUGUUUUGUUGUUUUCUUCUUUCUUUUUGAAGGUUUUGGCUUUAUUAUUGAUUGUUUAUUCGGUUAUUACCCAAACAACCGAAUAAAAAUUCGGUAAUUCGGUAAUUCGAAAAUUCGGUUAAUGAGUAAUUCGAUUAUUUGUUCGGAUAGUAAAAUUGCACAAAUUUUGAUUUUCGGUUAUAAUCGAAUAGCUUAUUCGGUUCGGUUGUUCGGUUAUAACCGAAUGAUCAGUCCGGCCGCACCCAAUAAGGAUAAUAAUAUCUGAUUUUGC
rnacentral:lncRNA from 1 species